CACAGCGGUGACUCACUCAACCUGGGUGUGAUGUGUCAUAUGAUUGUCAUCACAACCUCCUUGAGUGAGCGACCGGGUGG
rnacentral:pre_miRNA from 1 species